rnacentral:lncRNA from 1 species
UAGAACUCUCUCUCCUUCCCCCCGUACGAUCCCCACCAGGCUCCUCCUGCACAUCCGCCAUUUCUUCCGAUUUGCCGCCGGCGAAGGACGACGUCGCCGUGCCUCAUCAGGAAACUAAUCCUCAUGCUAUCCCAGAUCCACAUGUCGCUUCCUUUCUCCUGAUUUUUCUUCCUUGGUGGUGGCACAUGUGGCAGGGUGAGUGCGUGGAUCUCGGCGACCUCGUCGAGUCUGGCAACGCGGUCACGGAGAUGUCCAGGGAGAACGUGGGCUACGCUGCUCAAACUUAUCGUAGCCGGAGGCUCUGGAUGUUGGGGCUGCGGAGGCAUUGAGGGAGCUCGCGGAGGAAAAAAUAUCAGCAAGAUGUGAGUAUUUUCUGCGAGUGGAUUUUAGUUAUUGCCCUCCUGCUGUCCGGACUUCUACAAAAUGUCAGUGUUAUUGCAACCAUAUUAGUUUUUGUGAAGUUGAAUGAUCUAGAAAUCAGAAUAAGAUUUUAUCUUUCCAUUGCUAAACAACUUUUUGUGUGAAAUCAGAAUUCAUACCACAACUUUCUGUGUCUAGAAGUGGAGCUAUACUUGUUCCCUGAAUUCUGCAGUAAAGCAAACAUGUGGAUCUGCUUGAAUUAAGUCUAACUGAACCUAGCAAUAGACCCUUGCAUCUAAUUAUUAAUUGUCAGUAAAAGAAGGUGGUUUACCUGCACUUUUACUGAGCUAUGUAGCAAAAGCAUCAGCUUAAUGUGAGACAUGCAUGCGGUUAGCUGCAGUUUAAGUUUUGUAGUUCAGUUAUUUAGGUGCGGCUAGUUUUCUUGUCAGCUUCUUGCGUCUUAAUUACCACAUAGAGGCAGUGCUACAUGGUGAACAUACACAAUGUUAUAUGGUGCACACACAAAUGCAAGGUGUGUGAAUUAGUUACAGAUAUGGUUUCUUAUCUUGCUUAUGGGAUCUUGUCGUCUAAUAAGAUUUCUGAUAAUCAUGUUUGUCAGAGUGGUUAUUAUUCCAAAUUUGUAAUAAGAUUUUUAAACUUUUCCUCAUGUAGAAAGUAAGCUACAUGUACACACUUGUUAACAUCUCUAAGCAUGAAAGCAGUGUAUGGCAAUAAUAAUAUGCAUUUUCAUGUUCUUAUUUCCUUCUUACGAAAUAAUAAGAAAUCCAAUCUAUAACAUACUUUUUAUACAGUAUUUCGGGCCAUAUAUGUAAGACAUGGACGUCAUGCUUUUGAACCAUACAUUGUAUUUUUUUAAUCAUGGUGAUUUGGCCCUCGUAUGCAUUUGUUUGAAUAACAAAAAAUUAGAAGAUCUCUUUGUAUACUAUAUUCUUUGCGCUAUCUUCGCUUGGGCGCUCUGUGUCGUCGAUCAACACCUUUAAUCCUUCUCUGUUUGUGACUCUUGAUAAUGCCACAUAUAGUUGCCCAUGGCAGAAGACUUGCUUAGGCAAAUAUAGGCCCACCUUGUUUAGGGAUUGACCUAUUUAUUGUCAUUGCAAAACAAACUGAUAGAGGAUAUUGCCUUCUUUUCAGCACGAAGGGCCAUUUUGAGUCGCUUGGUGAUAUAAUGAUUUUAGGUAGUAUACCUUGUCACUGACGUGUGUUCCUGUGAUUAUUUGUGCCUCAAUGUACCCGUUUCCCAGCUGUGUGAUAGUCAUUCUUGUGCCAUUGCAUAAACCUGCCGCUUGAUUGAUGUUUCGUAGGAGCAUCACCGGCUAACCUACCUUCAGUUUUAGCUGAUGGUUUGGAAUUCCUUGGAAGGUCAUGUUGUUAAGGAACUCCGUUGGACACAUAUUCUCCAUUGUGUUGUACUUCAUUGUUGCCUUGCAUAGUGUCCAAGCUUAGGUAUGUCACCUUUUCACCUUGUAUUUGGCUCAUUAUGUAGUCAUUUAUCUUCUCAACUGUUUCAUUCCUUGGGCACAUUAUUGCUCUUUCUUCAAGAAAUUCACGAUCACGAUAGUUUUGUUGCAAGUUUGGGUACGAGCUUUUGACUAUCUCUUCUUUGGGGUCUUCUCCUUUAUGUAGAAUUAUGUCUUUAGGUAUUCUUACCCAAUCAUCUCCUUCAUCAUUUGUUUUUUUUUUCCAUCGCCAAUUUGUAAUAUCCAUACUGCAAAUUCAGCCACAUUUUGCCUUUGUAUUGGAUCUUCUGACAGGCACUUCAGCCGCAUGUUUUGAGUUAUUCUAAAUAUUUCGAAGUGCUUCCAUAGGUAUGACCUUUUGAUUGAGGCAUUUACUAUGUGCUCUCUCUUUCCCUUUGUUAUCACUGGAAGUAUUUGUAUGAAGUCGCCUCCUAGCACAACUGUCAUGCCACCAAAUGGCCUUUCGUCACUAUUUUGGUUUGUGAACCUUAGAAUAUCCUUAAGGCUUUUGUCUAGUGCCUCGAAGCAGUGUUUGUUUGCCAUAGGAGCCUCGUCCCACAGUAUAAGUGAGGUCUUCUUUACCAGUUCAGCCAAAUAUGAGCCUUGUUUUAUUUCACAUGUUGAUUCUUCUGUGAUAUUUAUUGGAAUGUGGAAUCUUGAGUGCGCUGUUCUUCCACCUUGGAGCAGCAAAGCUGCAAUGCCAGAUGAUGCUACCGCAAGCACUAUCUUUCCCUCUGAUCGUAGCUUUGUUGUAAUUGCCUUCCAUAGGUAGGUUUUUCCUGUGCCACCGUAGCCUUCUACAAAUAUCUGUUUUCCAAGUCCUCUCUCAGCUGAUUCUAUUAUUGCAUCAAAAGCCAUUUUCUGGCCAUGGUUAAGAUUGCGUAUUAUUGUUUGGUGCUCACUCUUUAGUGCCUCCAUGUCAUAGCUAAGUUCUUCGUCUAUCAUUCUGUUCCCAAGUUGUUCAAGUUCUAUAGCAUUUGAUAGUUCUAUGUCUGGAUAGUCCUUUAGUGUCUUUCCUGCUUGCCUCAUUAGUUUCUCUAUCUCGAUCAGAGCAUAUGUUUUUUCUGUGAAUCAGUGAGCUUUAGCGUAGGAAAGUUUAGGAUGGUUCUUCUUUUGUACUGGAUAUCUUCAGACAGUGCCUCCCAUCUUGAAUCCCACAACAUCUUUGGGCUGGUCACCUCACAAUGGCAUAAAAUUGUGGUAAAUAGUUGUCGUAAUUGUGUCCCUGAUCCCCAGCUUGAUGCUUCAUUGAUGCAUUCAACCCAUUCACUGUCGUCAUCAAGAAAUCCAAGCGCUUGGCAUGCUGAUUUGUAUGUUGGGUGAACAACUCCAUUAACUGUUCUAAUAUCCUCAAAUGAUGUGCAUCCUUUCUUGGUGUUUAGAAGCAUUCUCAUAUAAUACCGGUCGCCACUUGCAGGGUGUGCAUAGUAGAUUCUUCCAAUUGCAAAGCCCCUUUUCCGCUCCUCCCAAGUUUUGCUUUCGCUUUUCCAUACAAAUUUUGAUGGGAAUUCUGCAUAGGUUAAUUCUUUUCCCACCUCAUAUAUUUUGUUUGCCUCCAUCCACUCUGUGAACUUAGUAUUGUGGAUCCUAGUCUUCUUACUAUCUUCUCAAUGUCGGUCGAGUCCGGAAAAAUAAUUUGUUGCUCAUUUUCAAUGUGGAAUGGCAGUCUCUCGACUGGUGGAUCACGAUGGUGUAGAUCAAACUGGAAUAUCCGCCAGCAUGCUUCGGUUGUUAUGAUGCUGACCACAUGGGGGAGGUUUAGUUUAAUUUCAGACAUGCAUAUGCAUAUGCACUUGCUCUGGCAUUAGGAUUUCAAUCUCGCGGAUAUAUGAAGGUUGUGGGUUCUUUUUUGUUAUUCUUGUCUCCACUGGCUUCAUUUGAGUUAGUAGUCCAAUAACAUCUGUAUAUUUGGAGAUUAGUGAUAUAACAGUUAGAAAUAUAAAUUAUUUGGAGGUUGUAAUUACAACUAUAAACAUACCUGAGCAUUGUGUAUCUUUUUCUGCCCUUUCUUCUAGUGUAUCCAUGGUAGCAAACUCGAAGCAAUAGUCUGGGAAAACUUCCGAAGAUCCUUUUAUCUCCUUUACCUUUGUAUUGUACGCAAAAUAUAUUUUAAUUUCAUUGCUCACAGGCCUAUAUUUUGUGGAUUCCACAACCUUAAAAUUGCUGAAUGCAUAAAUAUAUUUUUCAUUGAUCUUUGAUCUAAAAGUGUCGAUAAGAUUCUUCCAGAUAGUAGCAUGGAUUGUUUCACCCUGUCAAAAAAUCAAAUAUGGUUAGUAACUUGCUUCAUCUGACAGAAAAAUUCGAAGUUAAUAUAUUAGAAAAGAGGCCUGCUCAUCCAUCAGUAUCAUAUCUAGGCUAAUAAGCUCAUCGGUCGUAGGAUUCACUGAAUCCUACAUUCUCAUUACUUUCACUUGAAUGUUCCAGUUCUGUCCCCUUGUAGUUAAGUUGCUCAACUUCUUGUAUGCCAUAUUCUUAUGUCUUCAAAGUUAACAGGGAACAAUUUAUCAAUUGAUAUAGUAUUUAUGAAGAUUCUAUCCAGAAAAAGUAAAGCUUGUGAAAUAACAAUUACCAAAUCUAAUGAUUCAGGCCAGAAGUGCUUUGGUGUAAAUUCUUCUGACGUUGAUUGGAGCAGUUGGGCUUCGCUUCGUCGGGCGUUCAGCGUGGUUUGGCGUGGCUUUGUCGGACGUUGAGUGAAGCAGCUGGGGGUGGCUUUUUCGCCUGGACCUCGAGUCGCGUCUGGCGUAUUCGAGUCAUCGUGGUUGCCGGCUUGUAAUUGUUCGGUGUGUACUUGUGCGGCCGUCUGUACUUGUUUACUUGUACAUGUAUAUAUAUAUUCUUAUGUAACGCUUGCAUCUUUUAAUCUCAGCCGUUAAUAGAUAAAUUUAACGAUUAAGAUAAUUUAAUCUAUGUGGACGCACGUGAUGGCUUGUUUGCCUAUUGUUUUAAUUAAAUAAUAAUAGAUAGACGCAUCAAAUUAGUCAUGCAACUUGGGAAGAUCAAGAACGCACAAAAAAAGUAAUGAACAGAGGCUCGGAGUAGUGAUGUAAUAGUUAGCAUCAGAAAAUGUAGGGUAAAACAAACUUAGCAUCAGAAAAUGUAGGGUAAAACAAACAAAAAGCAAUAAAAUCACAUGCUAGUUUGCUGAUGUGUAAUUAAGCAUAGAGAAC